AUUACAUGAAGUUAAAAGACUGAAGUCCUUUGCAGGCCCAGCUUUAAGGAGGUGUCUCAAAUCUAGAUAUGUACCUUUUUCUGAAUCCAAGUUCCUGUACUAAAGAUCAAAACUCCAGCCUCAACAUCUGAGGAGCGCCAAGAGAAAAAUCACAAUAACAAGCACCUGGCUUGGAAACCUCCGCUCCACACCUCACUAAAGUACAACAAGCUGCCAUGUCUGGCAAAAGCUCUUUCCACCUCCGUAGGGAGCCCCGGCAGGAAACGGUCCUGUCAUGGUUUGAUGAUAACACAGGGGCUCCAUUUGCUGAGAGAUAACUUCCAGGAGGGCAGGGACGUGAAGUUCCCUCAACCGUGAUGUUGUUCAUCAGGCAGUUGUUGUUGGUGUCUUGAUGAAGAAGGAUCCAUUUCUGAGGGCACCAGCCAACUGGUGAUCCCCGUGGAAUCUCCAGGGCUUUUGUCACUUCAGCCUGAUUACUUUAAGAGAGUGGGCAGAAGACAAAUCCUCCAGCCUCAGCCAAGCCUUCAGUGACUGCAGCCCUGACUGACAUUUUAACCACCACAGGGAGUGACAUCAGGGCAGAACCACCCAGUUUUAGGAUUCCUGAUCUACA